rnacentral:rRNA from 1 species
ACGAGAAGGCGUAGCAAUACGCUUGUAAAGUGGCGAACGGGUGAGGAAUACAUGGGUAACCUACCCUCGAGUGGGGGAUAACCCGCCGAAAGGCGGGCUAAUACCGCGUACGCUUCCGAUCCUGCGGGAUCGGAAGGAAAGCUGUCCCAAGGGGAUGGCGCUCAAGGAUGGGCUCAUGUCCUAUCAGCUUGUUGGUAGGGUAAUGGCCUACCAAGGCAUCGACGGGUAGCUGGUCUGAGAGGACGAUCAGCCACACUGGCACUGCGACACGGGCCAGACUCCUACGGGAGGCAGCAGUGAGGAAUAUUGCGCAAUGGGCGAAAGCCUGACGCAGCGACGCCGCGUGGGGGAUGAAGGUCUUCGGAUUGUAAACCCCUUUCGGGAGGGAAGACGGCCUUAGACAACUAAGGCGGACGGUACCUCCAGAAGCAGCCACGGCUAACUUCGUGCCAGCAGCCGCGGUAAUACGAAGGUGGCAAGCGUUGUUCGGAUUUACUGGGCGUAAAGGGAGCGUAGGUGGUUAGGUAAGCCCUCCGGGAAAUCUUCAGGCUUAACCUGAAAAGGUCGGGGGGGACUGCCUAGCUAGAGGGCGGGAGAGGAGCGCGGAAUUCCCGGUGUAGCGGUGAAAUGCGUAGAGAUCGGGAGGAAGGCCGGUGGCGAAGGCGGCGCUCUGGAACGUUUCUGACACUGAGGCUCGAAAGCGUGGGGAGCAAACAGGAUUAGAUACCCUGGUAGUCCACGCCCUAAACGAUGGACACUAAGUGCCGGCGGGUUACCGUCGGUGCCGCAGCUAACGCAUUAAGUGUCCCGCCUGGGGAGUACGGCCGCAAGGUUGAAACUCAAGGAAUUGACGGGGGCCCCACAAGCGGUGGAGCAUGUGGUUUAAUUCGACCCACCGCGAAAAACCUUACCAGGCUGGAC